CAGGUUAGUUUUAAAUUUCAUAUAAACAGUGGAUAAAUUUUUAGUAUAAGUAUAUCCCAUGCAAUAUUUGGGACAUACUUAUACUAAAAAAGUAUUCAUGGUGUAUCUGAAACUUAAAUUUAGGUGGGUGU
rnacentral:miRNA from 1 species